rnacentral:lncRNA from 12 species
UUUUCCUUCCUUCCUCCCUUCCCUAAUUUCUUUAUUCUUAUGCCAUCCUAGGUAACCUUAAAUGAUCUCCAGUUUCAGAGGAGAAACGAGGGGAAGUGCUUGAGAUGCUGUGCCACCUCCAUGCGUGUUGCCAUGGUGACAGGAGGAACUGGUUCCUAAGGCCCCAGCCUGCAGACUUACAGAAGGUAAGGAACAAAUCUCAAGGCAAGGAAGGAGCAGCUCCGGGAAGGAAAGAGACAGGUAAGGAGCAACUGGGUAGUCUAACAAGACAAGAGCCGGAGAAGGACUCCCAGACCCAACAGUUGUAGUCAUUUAACACAAAGGUCAAAAGGUCCCAGAUUACAUGUAUGUUCUUUUUGUUUUUCAGAUUUUAUUUAUUUAUUUGAGAGAGAGAAAGAGAGCACAUGUGCAUGAGUGAGGGGGAGGGGCAGAGGGAGAAGCAGACUCCUUGCUGAGUGGGGAUCCUGAUGCAGAACUUGAACCCAGAUCAAGGACCCCUAGAUCAUGACCUGAGCUGAAGGCAGAUGUGUAACUGACUGAGCCACUCAGAUGUCCCUACCUGUAUGUUCUUGAUAAUCCCCGAGUCAUCAGAAAAAGACUGUUUGCCGCUCUGUGGUUUUCUGUUUGAAAAGGUAUGAAGGGCAUAACAUGUUUUAGAGAGUUCCUACCAUUUU